rnacentral:tRNA from 1 species
GGAAGGGUGGCAGAGCGGUCGAAUGCACCGGUCUUGAAAACCGGAAGCCAGCCAGUGGCUCGUGGGUUCGAAUCCCACCCCUUCCGCCA